rfam:TPA: Bos taurus chromosome 2, whole genome shotgun sequence.
UCCCUGGUGGCUCAGAUGGUAGAGCAUCUGUCUACAAUGUGAGAGACCUGGGUUCAAUCCCUGGUUUGGGAA